AAUAAAGGGAUUUUAAGAGGUAUUUGAAGGGGUGUCAAUAGUCCCACUCUUACUAUAAACAAGUGAGCAGUAAUCUGUUAAAACAAAGUAACCCAGUGUUAAUGAAAAUAAGAACAACAUAUUAUGUUUAAAACUAAGUUUUCAUAAUAAUGAAAUCGAGUAAACUUAUUCGAUAAGGAUAAACAAAUAGAACGCAUUGACAAAUUGGCAUCAAAUUAAAUUAAUCUAGAGAAAUUGAGAUGCUAAAAUUUGAUUACGUACACAUUGAUUUUCAAAUAAUUAAUCCACACAUUGUUUUAUUCUUCAAACAUCUUUAAACACAGGAGCCAACACUUUCACUCUUAUAUAUUACUGCCAUAGCAACUUGAACUUGGUGAUAAGCUUUUUAAUUGAUUUGCAGUAGCUCACAAUUAAUUAAGCUUGAUCAUCAGUAGCUAGUAUUGAUCAUAAAAAUAUUUGUUUACUUUACGAUCUAAAGUUACGCUCCAUACUCUAUAUAUGUGAAUUAUAUAUUUGCAUAAGGGUUCGCCUAAGUUACAUUCAGUGUAACUUACGGCCAGCAUGUAAAAAUUCAUCUAGUCCCUCAUACUCUAUGUUAUUUAUACUUUAUUCAUAAGUAUUAUAAAACUUUUGGAUUGUAAAAUUUCAUUUAGCCCCUUAUGUUCAAUUUUAUUUUAUUGAAAUCCUAGAGUUUGAAUUCGCCCCCUAUAAUUUUAAAUUUCCAAAA
rnacentral:lncRNA from 1 species